CUCUAACGAUGUUUAGAUCUAAACUGAUCGUGUUUGUUGUUGUUUUCAACUUCAGUCUUAUUUAUGGAAAAGGUAUGUAAUAAUUAUUGACAUCGUUACUCUAUUUUCUUCGAUCUUGAUAUUGUUGAUAUUCACGCGCCAGUAUUUGAUUUAACUGAUAUACAUUGUAUCUAAUCAUACCUUCAUAACUGUAGGAAAGGACGUGUGUCCGCAAAUCCUGUGUCCAUCAGACCAUAAAAUACCGAAAGACUGCAGGAAAGCAGAGUUUGUUAUUGGUGCCGACUUCAAGACACGAUGUCGUGUCUGUGACAGCAAUCUUUGUGGUUCAAAAGGUGUGGUAUGCCCAGCGAUAAACUGUCCGAAAGAUCGGAAGAUAAAAAAUGAAUGCCGCCGACCAAACUUUGAAAUUGGCACAGACGGAAUCACCAAGUGCCGCCUGUGUGACAGCAGUGUUUGUGGAAAGAAAAGAGAGGUUUGUCCCCAGAUUCAGUGUCCUAACGAUUCAGCAAUCCCAAAAUAUUGCCGUGCUAAAACAUUUGAAAUCGGAACGGAUGGGAUCACGAGGUGUCGUGUAUGUGAUAGAGACCGCUGUCUCGGAAAGUAAAUGUUCAUGAAGUGUAUACA
rnacentral:lncRNA from 1 species